rnacentral:lncRNA from 1 species
CUAAAACCUUACACAGGAUUACCAAGGUCGCUGUGGCUGACAGAUUGUGGAGGGGGUUAAAAGUGGAAGCAGGGGGAGCCACUGGGGACUACCAUAGUCAUCUGAACAGCAGAUUUGGAUCAGGGUGGUAGUGGUGGGGUGCGAAGUGGUUCCAUUCUGGAUAUAAUAUGAAAGUAAAGCCAAGUGAAUCUGCCAUUGGAUUGGAUCUGAAUGUGAAGGAGGAAGAAAGAGAAAGAGAGAGAGAGAGAGAAAGUAAGGAAGAAAGGAAGAAAGAAAGAGGGAAGGAGGGAAGGAAGGAAGGAAGGAAUGAAGAAAGGAAGGAAAGAGAAAGAAAGAAAGAAGGAAAAAUGAAAAGAAAGAAAGAAAGAGAGAGAGAGAAAGAAAGAGUCAUGAAACUGGAUGAGAUCAUCAAGAUAGAGAAGGCAGAAGGAGCCCUGGGACCCUCCUAUGUUAAGAAGUUGGAUAGAAGAAGAACCAGCAGUGGAAAGAAAGAGAGAAAGAGAGACCAGUUAGACAGGAAGAAAAUCAGGAAUGUGCACAGGCCGGAAGCCAAGUGAAAAUAUUUCCAAGAGGAAGGACUGAUUAACCACAUCAAUGCUGCUAGAAGCUCCAAUAGGAUGAGGACUGGGAAUAAGUCUCCAGAUUUAGCAACAUAGACCUCAUGGACACACUGAGAAUCUGGUCUUUGCGGAAUAGUAGGUAUGAAAGCCUGUUUAGAAUAGUGCAAGAAAGAGGGGGAGAAAAGGAAUUAAAGAUGAUGAGUAUAUAGAACUAUUUCAGAGAAUUGUACUGUAAAGAGGAAGAAAUAAAUGGAGCAAAAACUGGAAGGGAAAUGGA